rnacentral:pre_miRNA from 1 species
ACAUCAACAUUCGGACCGUCGGUCUACCGAGCAAUAUCAUCCGCUCGGUGGAAGAUCUUUCCUUUCGUCGUUAAGA